UGGCGAACGGGUGAGUAACACGUGGGCAACCUGCCCAAAAGAGGGGGAUAACACUUGGAAACAGGUGCUAAUACCGCAUAACCAUAGUUACCGCAUGGUAACUAUGUAAAAGGUGGCUAUACUACCGCUUUUGGAUGGGCCCGCGGCGCAUUAGCUAGUUGGUAGGGUAAAGGCUUACCAAGGCAAUGAUGCGUAGCCGAAUUGAGAGGUUGAUCGGCCACAUUGGGGCUGAGACACGGCCCAAACUCCUACGGGAGGCAGCAG
rnacentral:rRNA from 1 species